GACCCAAGAAAGAAGCUGAAGCCAGCGUGAGAGGAGCACAUACGCAAUGUUAGCUAGUGGGUGGACCCUUUCUAUUUUCUACAUGCAGAAAAUUCAUAAAACUUCAUAAAUUACUACUUUAGAAAACCUGUGAUUUGUUUUGAUUGGUGACCCGAGGGUGGGACCUUUUCUACCUUCCACCCAACCCCCACCACACCCCGUCGUGUGGAACUUGCGACCCAAAUUCCGAGGAAAGCCCUAAAAUCUGAUAAGCCUCACUUCAUACUCUCAAAGCAUUCAAGAGACAAAGAAUGUGAACAAAAUUUAGUGGAGAAACAGAUUUCUGGUACGUGAAUACUGUUUCCAUAGCAAUUCCAUUGUAAGCGUUGGGGGAGGGGAACACCCACUGAAUACAGCUAAAUUCCUCAGGCAGCUGCCUAUUCUCCAGGUAUCUACCUGCGCGGAGGCGGGGCCUCCCUCUUUUCCAUAGAUACCACGGCAGGGGCUUGGACUCUGAUUUACACCAGUACAGCCCAGAGCCCGGAUGUGGGUGAGUGAAGACAAGGCAUACCUCGGUGUGACCACUUUCCAGAAUUCAGGUAUGUCCACAGUAUGAAUAACAUCCUUUCUGACUCCCAAAACGUUCAUCACGAAACAGGAAAACCCAGAUAUAGCGAUUUGAGAGAAUAAUUUUGAUAAAAGCACAGAAGAAGAGAGUGCUGGAUUAUGGAACUUCAAAGAGAACUCAGCUUGCAAUCACAAUUUCAAAGCCUCUCAACGGAAAGAGAAGAAAUUGCACUGGCCAGCACUGGGGAGAGGGCAAGAACUCAGUACUUGUUUGCUAAGUGCGUGGGGUGGAAUCGGCAUUGGGAGUUCCACAAGGUCAGUUGUGGUGGUACACAGCUAUAAAUCACGGUUAGACGCCAGCUUGGGCUACAUUGCCAGUUCAGGGCCAGCCUAGGCUGCCUGGUGAGACUGUAUCGCAAAAGCCAAAAUAAGGCCGGCCAAGUAGCUCUGUGGUAGGCUGACUGGCUGAUGUGCGGCAGGCUUCCUGGGACCGGAUUGGUCACUUUCCUUUUCUCAUCUCUGAGCCUUCCUCGGUCUUUCGUGUAAGGGAUUUUUGUUUAAUCACCCUCUAGCCUUCUUUUGCCCUGGCUGACUCAUUCCUGUUCCCUCCAGGCGAUUGUUUUGAGCUAUUAGUCAUCUUGGUGGCUUUCUUUGAACCCAUCCCCCGGCACCUUAGCUUUCCUGUAAACCCACAGAGGUUACAGCAGACGGAUGCAAUCUCCACCAGACAAUCCAGAAGAGCGGAGGACACGAUUCCUUUUCUGAUUCUCUAACAAAGUAGGAAAAAUUAUUAGCAGUUGUGUCCCCAAGGAGUAAAUAAGCAAAUCAAUGGAUCUAGUGGUAUCCUUAAAUCUUUAAAGAAUAUCAUUAAAGGGGUUGGAGAGGUGGCUCAGUAGUUAA
rnacentral:sRNA from 1 species